GGAUGCGUAGUUCAGUGGUAGAACGCUGUCCUGAUAAGACAGAGGUCGGAGGUUCGAUCCCUCCCGCAUCCA
rnacentral:tRNA from 1 species